CCACAAGGCACAAACAGGAGAGGUAAGAGGGGAAGGGAGCAUGGUUCCCUCCUCUUUCCACCCACUUUUGAGGGUAACGCAUAUGGUAAACUCAAACAGAAAGUUCCUUGCCCCUCUUUUCCUUUCCCCUCAGCUUUCCUUAUAAACCCUCCUCCCUUUCCUCUUUCCUUCCAUCCAAAUAAUGAAAUCUUUCAUUUCCCUCACUCUUCCCUCCUACCAGAUGGACCUUAAAGUGAAUACUCAAACCUUUAGCACAUGCAACAUUAGGGACAUUUAGAUAGAAAUUGCAACUUUUUUUCCUUUUUUCUUUUUGGGUACUGUUAGACAUUAUUAAAUGUAAAUUCUAGAUGUGAUGUACUAGACAUACAUUUCUAUAAGCCGAUUUUUCUUCUCUUAACUGAGUACCAAGUAAGCUCUCUCUCUCCCUUGUGCUGGUGCUGGUGGUUGGGAGGACUAUAUUUUUAUUUUAUUUAAUGAAGCGGUAUUCAAUAUCGUAUCAUGUGGUAUUAGACACAUCAAUAGUGAGCUUAUAGUUAUAGCCUUAUACGUAGACCCAGUACUAAAUGAACACUGCAAAUGAGUGAAGAUGAGCAGUGGUUAAAGCACAAUGAUGUACAAAAGAAAAGUAUAAUUAACAAUUGAACUUUUAUCUAAUUAUGAGUUAAAUAGUAUAACAAACUCAUGCCUUUCACUUUACAUGAAAAUAACAGUACACAGGAAGCACCAAAAAAACAUUAGAGGUAAAGCAUUUAAAAAUUCAAAAGUAGCAAAUUGUCAUCAUACUCAUUAGUACAGUACAUCAACUUAUAAUAUUCUUACAGUAUAAAAAAAAAUCUGAGUCACCAAAGGAAAACAGUAACUGAAAAAUAUAAGGACAACAAACAGAAGUGCCCCAUUGUGAAAAUCUCCAUAACAUACGUAGCAAUUUUCAAUGAAGGCAUUAAAGCCUCUAAUUGAGUACACUCAUAGCAAUAUUGAUGCUUAUUUCCAGAUGAUCCAACAAGAGAAGUAGCAUUGUCAGUUGUCAAGGAGUCUACAUUCGCGAAAAGAAGGAUUCAAUUAAAAGAGAACAAGAAGCAGCAGAAAAUGAAGUAACUUAUCAUUAAUUAGGAAACAGGAAUCACCCACCAUUUGAUUCCAGUGACAGGGCACAAUGUCAUAAUGUUCAAGAUCUGACAUGUCUUUUGCAGAACUAGGCUGAUUGAAGAUUUAACUUUAAUUUUCUGUGGUCUUUGUGCAGGACCAGAUAGAGGAGUCCUAAACAUCUUUCAAGCUGACCAGUCAUUAUCUUCACCCGGAGGAGCUCCUCUCCAUCAGAUGCAGUAGUAUUAUAGGCGGCUUUGCGUCCCUGAUAACUUUUCCAGAAAAUGGAAUGCUGUUGUUCAUUGCUUAACUUUGGAGGCAAAACGAACUUCUGUAGUGGAGAUGGAUGAACUCGUGUAACAAGUUGAAUUGUACAGGACUAGUUGGCACUUGUUACAUUUUUUCAAGGAUUAUAUAUUUUUGGAUAGAUGUGUAUGAAAAAUAUUUGGGUAGACUAGUAAUUAUAUUUUUAGAUAGAUGCGCAUGGAUAAAAAUUUAAAACAUAAUAACAAGUAUUUGUUAUGUUUUAAAUUUUUAUGCUAGAUGGAUAUGAAUCGGAAUUUUAAUUGGAGAAAUAUGUAAUUUUGGAAUUAUUUGUGGAUGAAAAUUUAUAAUAAUUGCCGACUUUUAUUAAAC